UACAGAGGGGGCAAGCGUUGUUCGGAAUUACUGGGCGUAAAGGGCGCGUAGGCGGCCUGCUAAGUCGAACGUGAAAUCCCCGGGCUCAACCCGGGAACUGCGUCCGAUACUGGCAGGCUUGAAUCCGGGAGAGGGAUGCGGAAUUCCAGGUGUAGCGGUGAAAUGCGUAGAUAUCUGGAGGAACACCGGUGGCGAAGGCGGCAUCCUGGACCGGCAUUGACGCUGAGGCGCGAAAGCCAGGGGAGCAAGCAGG
rnacentral:rRNA from 1 species